GCCCCAGGCCUACAAUCUCUCCAGCCUUUGAUGAUUUCAUGUAACCAUGCCAACCAUGACAUCACUGACGAAGGGCUUUAGAGCCAUAUUCAAUAUGGCUGGAAUCAAGAGCUGCAGGGUGUGUCAGUGUGUGGUCAGAGACAAAGGAAAGCCAUAUGACCCCUAAGACACCACUGGUUUUGCCAAGUUGUCCAGAGCCAGCUUCUCUAGGCCUCACCAGCUGAAUGUGGGCAGGAGAUACUUUAGCCACAUCCUGAGAUGUGCCUGCAUCCACAAGAGAAAGAAGAAAGCUAUCUCCGAGUUGUUAAAAUGAUUCAGACAACCGCCAUCACUCCUGGGUUACUAACAACCAGCUCCAUCCUCUUCUAACUUCUCUCCCUCCUCCCAUCUCCUCUGCUGGUGUCCUUGAGCCAGAACUCCCAGCAUCCCUGCAAGGACUGGACUCUCCAUAUACUGUUUCUUCUGCUCAUCCUAAAGCAUCCUUAUGAAGCACAAUGACAUGUGUGGAUUCUCCAGAGGCUACUCGGAUCCCUUGGAAGAGACCCAGGGUACAGAAAUCAAGUCACCUGACUACCCCAGCACUGUGCCAUUGGUCCAAAUACCUAACACCUACAUUUAAAGGAUGAAAGGGUUUAUUUGGCUCAAGGUUUCUGAGAUUCCAUCCAGUCACCUGGCUCCACAGUAAAGACAUGAGGGAGGAAAGUUGUUCAUCUCAUGGCUUCACCAUGAAGUAGCCAGGCAGCUUCACCAGACGCCAGCACCCUGCUUUUGGACUUCUCGGCCUCCUGAAUUGUGAGCCCAAUACACUUCUGGUCUUUAUAAAUUACCCAAUCUGCGGCAUUCUGUUAUAGCAGCAGAAAACAGACUAAGAUAGAGAGGCAAGUGUCAUAGACAAAGAACUGAUCUUCACCCGAGUCACUUGUUAUGGUUUAAUUUGAGCUCACGAAGUCAAGAAAUGCUACAUGAGCCUGUCCUUCAACUCUCAAGGAUGAAGCAAGCCACUGAAAAUGUCUCUGGACUGAUAAACUGGCAAUGUUUUCUUCAAGGCUAUUUCUAUUUCCUCUUUUAUAUGUAUCACUGAAAGAAUAAUAAUAAAAUUAUAAUAAUGAUAAUAAA